rnacentral:rRNA from 2 species
GAUGAACGCUAGCGGGAGGCCUAACACAUGCAAGCCGAGCGGUAUUGUUUCUUCGGAAAUGAGAGAGCGGCGUACGGGUGCGGAACACGUGUGCAACCUGCCUUUAUCUGGGGGAUAGCCUUUCGAAAGGAAGAUUAAUACUCCAUAAUAUAUUGAACGGCAUCGUUUAAUAUUGAAAGCUCCGGCGGAUAGAGAUGGGCACGCGCAAGAUUAGCUAGUUGGUGAGGUAACGGCUCACCAAGGCGAUGAUCUUUAGGGGGCCUGAGAGGGUGAUCCCCCACACUGGUACUGAGACACGGACCAGACUCCUACGGGAGGCAGCAGUGAGGAAUAUUGGUCAAUGGGUGCAAGCCUGAACCAGCCAUCCCGCGUGAAGGACGACUGCCCUAUGGGUUGUAAACUUCUUUUGUAUAGGGAUAAACCUACCCUCGUGAGGGUAGCUGAAGGUACUAUACGAAUAAGCACCGGCUAACUCCGUG